rnacentral:rRNA from 1 species
UGCAGUCGAGGGGUAUAGGUUUUCGGACCUAGAGACCGGCGCACGGGUGCGUAACGCGUAUGCAAUCUACCUUUUACAGAGGGAUAGCCCAGAGAAAUUUGGAUUAAUACCUCAUAGUAUUAUUGAAUGGCAUCAUUUAAUAAUUAAAGUCACAACGGUAAAAGAUGAGCAUGCGUCCCAUUAGCUUGUUGGUAAGGUAACGGCUUACCAAGGCAACGAUGGGUAGGGGUCCUGAGAGGGAGAUCCCCCACACUGGUACUGAGACACGGACCAGACUCCUACGGGAGGCAGCAGUGAGGAAUAUUGGUCAAUGGGCGCAAGCCUGAACCAGCCAUGCCGCGUGCAGGAUGACGGUCCUAUGGAUUGUAAACUGCUUUUGUACAGGAAGAAACAGUUCUACGUGUAGAACCUUGACGGUACUGUAAGAAUAAGGAUCGGCUAACUCCGUGCCAGCAGCCGCGGUAAUACGGAGGAUCCAAGCGUUAUCCGGAAUCAUUGGGUUUAAAGGGUCCGUAGGCGGUUUUGUAAGUCAGUGGUGAAAGCCCAUCGCUCAACGGUGGAACGGCCAUUGAUACUGCAAGACUUGAAUUAUUGGGAAGUAACUAGAAUAUGUAGUGUAGCGGUGAAAUGCUUAGAGAUUACAUGGAAUACCAAUUGCGAAGGCAGGUUACUACCAAUAUAUUGACGCUGAUGGACGAAAGCGUGGGGAGCGAACAGGAUUAGAUACCCUGGUAGUCCACGCCGUANACGAUGGAUACUAGCUGUUCGGAGCAAUCUGAGUGGCUAAGCGAAAGUGAUAAGUAUCCCACCUGGGGAGUACGUUCGCAAGAAUGAAACUCAAAGGAAUUGACGGGGGCCCGCACAAGCGGUGGAGCAUGUGGUUUAUUCGAUGAUACGCGAGGAACCUUACCAAG